GGGGAAUUUUGGACAAUGGGGGCAACCCUGAUCCAGCCAUCCCGCGUGUGCGAUGAAGGCCUUCGGGUUGUAAAGCACUUUUGGCAGGGAAGAAACAGCCUGGGCUAAUAUCCCGGGCGACUGACGGUACCUGCAGAAUAAGCACCGGCUAACUACGUGCCAGCAGCCGCGGUAAUACGUAGGGUGCAGGCGUUAAUCGGAAUUACUGGGCGUAAAGCGUGCGCAGGCGGUUCGGAAAGAAAGGUGUGAAAUCCCAGGGCUUAACCUUGGAACUGCACUUUUAACUACCGGGCUAGAGUACGUCAGAGGGGGGUAGAAUUCCACGUGUAGCAGUGAAAUGCGUAGAGAUGUGGAGGAAUACCGAUGGCGAAGGCAGCCCCCUGGGAUGAUACUGACGCUCAUGCACGAAAGCGUGGGGAGCAAACA
rnacentral:rRNA from 1 species